CGAGUGUGUUUAAGCCGGGUAUUUUUUCGACGUUGGCUCCGGUUACUAGAGAUCCCAUUGUGUUGUUUGUUAAUCCGGGUUUGGAUAUACCGCCAAAGAAGAAGUCUUCAGCUGUUAUGUUUGCUGCAUUCUUGCAUGCGAAUCCAUUUAACUUCACUUCUGAAGAUUUUGGAAUUCAAUUUCCCAUGCCAACCCAAGUCUAGGUACGCCCCUGCUCUCAACAAGACGGGAAAUAACAAGCAAUAUACACAUAGAGAAAGAAAGAAAGUGCGUACCCGAAGUAGAAUCAGCAACACAAAUAUCUUGGAGCAUGUCAGCAUCAUUGCCAAAAACAGGAGAUGUAGUCACAGCCAAGAACAGUACUAUCAAAAAAGCAAUACAAGAAAUAAGCCCCAUUCUCAUUUAUUAAACUCAGAUUUUUUUGUUAAUUACUCAAUAAAUAAUUAG